rnacentral:rRNA from 1 species
GGGAUUGCCUCAGUAACGGCGAGUGAAGCGGCAACAGCUCAAAUUUGAAAUCUGGCUCCUUCGGGGUCCGAGUUGUAAUUUGUAGAGAGUGCUUCGGGGGAGACUGCGGUCUAAGUCCAUUGGAACAUGGCGUCCUAGAGGGUGAGAAUCCCGUAUGUGACCGUGGCUCGAACCCAUGUGAAGCCUCUUCGACGAGUCGAGUUGUUUGGGAAUGCAGCUCAAAAUGGGUGGUAAAUUUCAUCUAAAGCUAAAUACUGGCUGGAGACCGAUAGCGCACAAGUAGAGUGAUCGAAAGAUGAAAAGCACUUUGGAAAGAGAGUUAAAAAGUACGUGAAAUUGUUGAAAGGGAAGCGCUGGCAACCAGACCUGCCCGUAGGUGAUCAGCCGCUGUUCUCAGCGGUGCACUCGCUCUGCGAUCAGGCCAGCAUCGGUUCCGGCGGUCGGAUAAAGGCCUUGGGAAUGUACCUUCCCUUCGGGGGAGUCUUAUAGCCCUCGGUGCAAUGCGGCCAGCCGGGACCGAGGACCGCGCUUCGGCUAGGAUGCUGGCGUAAUGGUUGUCAGCGACCCGUCUUGAAACACGGACCAAGGAGUCUAACAUCUAUGCGAGUGUUUGGGUGUUAAACCCAUGCGCGGAAUGAAAGUGAACGGAGGUGAGAACCCUUAAGGGCGCAUCAUCGACCGAUCCAGAUGUCUUCGGAUGGAUUUGAGUAUGAGCAUAGCUGUUGGGACCCGAAAGAUGGUGAACUAUGCCUGAAUAGGGUGAAGCCAGAGGAAACUCUGGUGGAGGCUCGCAGCGGUUCUGACGUGCAAAUCGAUCGUCAAAUUUGGGUAUAGGGGCGAAAGACUAAUCGAACCA